rnacentral:lncRNA from 1 species
UCACAUAAGAGACAUGUGGAGGUUGGCAAAUGUUGUAUGACGGGAGGAGAGUUGGGGUACAUUGCAUGGAAGCGAAGUUGCAAUUUCUGUAACGUUGUGAUCUUCAUGGAGUGUCCCAGCUUCUGGCUACGAAGAAACCCCCUGGAGACAAGAUAGUGGCAAAAUGAAAAUAAAAGUAGGGAAACAAAGCCAAAAUGCAAUAUAGGUAGGAAACAGAAGCAAAACAAAAAUAGUUACAAGAGUCAAGAUGGUAUCAGAGAGGAAAUAAAUGUGACCAUGGAAAAGGAAAGAAGAAACAAAAGGGAGAAAUCCUCCAAUAGAGAUAGAUAGUUCUCGCAUUUAUUGAUGUAUAGGAGAGGGAAAUGACCCAUGAAGAGGGAAAUAACUCCAUGAGGGGGGAG